AGAGGAGCUGACUCCUCAUAAAGGAGCAGCCAGAAGCAUCUUUAGGUCUUUCUCAAUGUGUUGUUGGUCCUGGGAACUACAGCAGCUUCUGACACAGCUCAUCCAAACUCUUCAAGAAGAGUGGACUUUCUCCCUACCUUUGUGGCCUUCCCUCAAGCCCAGGCCAGCGAUUCACUAACAUAAAUUUUAUUUACUAAUAUUCCAGUGAAACUACGAAUCACUGUUAUUUUCAUUUUUUUAUAUGCCAAAUUAAGGCUCACAACAGAUAGCUUGCUAGAGAUUUUAUGGGAAGCCUGUGGCAUAAGCCAAAUGAAGUCAGGAAUAUAAAGAGUAUUUCAAAAACAAAGUCUAGUAGUCUUUGAUUAUGAUUCUCCCUUAUACUACAAGACAUUCGAGUGUGUGUCAAGAGUCAGCAGAGAAAGGGAUGAGAUGUUGACCACAUGACUGGCAUACAGCCAGCUGUAUGACAUGCACUACUACAUAGUGGCAGAAUUCGAGGUCACAGCAUAUGAUCCUCCUCUGUCCCUGGACAAACUGUGAAACCAGGAGGGCUUUAGCAGAGUUGAGAUUUCAUGCACUUAAAUAUAGGUUUGCCUAAAAAAACAUUCUGCCUCUGUGCUGUCACAGUUAGGUAUCCAGGCUGGCUGGCAUCUUCCUUCUUGACCCCAAAAUCAGGUUAACAGUAUCUUAAAAAUUUUUACAAAUACUUGCUAGACCAUGGAAUUUUCCAUUUGCAAUGUUAUAUUUUUGAGAAAUUUGAGGUUAUUACCCAAAAUCUUUGCUCCAGGCCACUAACUCUUCCUUACCAGUUCAGAGAGUUUACAGGAAAGGUGUAUCAAUUCAGACAGCAAUAAUUUCCAUGUAGGUUAAAACAAAACAAAACAAAACAAAAUAAGCAUGUUUAAGACCAAGGGGAUAUUCUUCCUCACAGGAACUAGUGAGGAAGUAUUUUCCUUGGCUGGAAAAGAAUAAACUUGCAUUUUCUUAUUCUUUCUCAAAACAGGGAGACGGGAAAGAGGAGAUAGAGGGCAGGGAGAGAAUUAAUCAAGAUAAUAUUUGCUCAUGUUUAUAUUCUGAAACAAAGGGAAAUAAAAAUACACGAAGACAUAUUACAUGAUGAAGAUAGGAAGUAACUUGCUACAUAGCAGAAUUAUUGGAGCCACAUCUCAGUUGUAAGAGACAGGGAUACAAACACAGAUUAUUUCAAAUGAGGUUACUAGUGUUUCACUGUUAGGGAAAUACAGGAUGCUAAGAAGGAAGUAAAAACUAAUAACAUUGUUUGUUUUGAAGAUAAUAUAUUUUGACAAGUCUGAGGAAGGGCUAUCAAAAGAGGAAAGUUGUAUAUCCUGACAAUAAUGGACUCUAUGAAUACCUUACAGAUGAGGAGAUUCUAAUCAUGUUUGUUUUUAUAUAAGACAAAAACUAACUUGCUGCUCAUAGUGCCCUAGUUUGAAGUUGCUUCUACAAAAACAAAUAUGACACAAUGAAAAACUGCUAAAAGAUUCACCGAGCUACGGAAUGUCCUUCCUGCUCACCCUGGCUCACUUUUCACUUCGAAAAGUAAAAGGAAUGUCACGCAUUUGUAAACUAUGUCUGGGAGCGAAGCCUCAAGUAUCAUGAAUAAAAACACUCAAGUUCUCUACUAUACCAAUAAAAAUGCUACGUGACUUCUAUUCAAGCACAAGCUCAGAUGUUUCUAAAUACAGAUGGUAUCCAUCACAUGAAGGAAGAACAUCAGUUAUUGCAUUUGACAUCUUUCUUGGGAACUGCACCCCUCCUCACUGAGCAGAACAAAGUCUCUGGCAUACUAGAAGUUGUCAAGACUUUCUGUUUCUCUGUCCUCGAUGCAAUGUACAUUCUCUAAGGAGAGAGGAAAACAAGAAAGGAAAAAAUUUGUAAAGCAACCAUCCAUUCCGUAUGCUACACCAAUUGUUUUCCAGCUCAGUUUUUAUUACCUAAUCUUACAGCAACCCUGUCUCCAGGCAAUUACAUAUUGAAAUACAUAUUCACAGCUCAGUUUUUCAUUUGUAUACAACAAAUAUUUGUAAAAACCCUGCUGUUUACAGGUUGGUCAUUUGCUGCUUCUAUUCAAAAGAGCAAGCUGUAACAGUGUGCUAAAAGCUGUCCAAACCUGACUGGGUCUGACUGAUCUGUUGCUCUGGCCUGCUUAUAUUUCCCAGCUCUAACCUGGCCCUGUAGAGGAACAAUAUAAAACUAUACACGAGCCUGCUUAUUUCUCCUGGAAGCAAACCUCAGCACUCGAGCUGUAUGCUGGGGAGAUCAACAGUCUGCAAUUGCUGUGGUGUGUGCACUUUCUUCUAUCUAUGUGAUAAGUCUAUUCUAUCACUUCACCAAAAUUAAGCCUGAAGGAACCAGGAAUUCUCAAUUUACAGCAAUGAGGUAAAGGAUCACCAUCUUACAUUCCUUAGCUCACAUAUACAAGUUUUUUUAAUGUGUCCAUGUCAUGGUCAACUUGGAACCUGUUCCUCUAUAUAAAGUUACAGUGUUUAAGACUAGUUUCCCCACUUAUCAUUCCAAGUAUCUGUUUGCUGUACCAUCAAGUAUAUGGUACGGCAAAAGUUGUCAAGAGAUUUCCAGGGUAGCCAUGGGAAUGAAAACGUACCUAUUUUCAAGUUAAUACAUACCAGCUACAAGGAAACAAUAUUAGCAUUUUAGCACAGUUUUAAAGACUAGCAGAGAAAGGAUGCAGUCGGACAAGGUCUAGAACUUUGACAGCUGCAAUAAUGGCUACGCAGAGCAACACCCAGUAAUCAAAAGAAAAUACUGGAAAAAGAUUAAAACUCAGAGACAAGACUUAAAAACCAGGAGAACUGAAAAGAUGACUGAAGAGGCUUACUAGGAGUUGAGAUGAGGUUGAGACACCUGGAAACCCUCAUGAAAUAAUGACAUUAGCAGAAAGCAGUAUAGGGCAUUUUCUGCUCAGAAAGAAAAAAAACAAAAAUACACAGAGAAUUACCUGUGAAGUGACUGCUAAAACAAGAGAGGACAAAACCCAAGCAUCAAGCUUUUACAACGAUCUCCUAAUACCUGGCUACAUUUCAGCUCCAACAAUUGCAGCUGCAGUCCCACCUCAGCAUAAGUGAGAAAUACAAGCAAGUAAGUGCCAGCUGGGUUUCAGUCUCAAAUACUUCAGUAUCUCCUACCCUGAAGGACAUUUUGAACUGCAGUGGUGGUAAAAGCCUUCCUGCAUGAACUCCUUAAGGCUUCUUUACAACAACCCUUUUACUGAGGAAACAGAGAAGUGUCUGUAUUUUAGCAAAACAACCUGUUUUCCAAGUUCUAAAAAUAGAAAAGAAAAAAAAUAUUAAAACUGUCUGUCAUUUUGAAAGCACUCACAAGCAUUUCAUCCUAAGCAACACAGCCUCCCCCCUUGCUAAAAAUAAAACAGUACAUUACAGCAACAUUUUUUGCUGGCUUCAGCCAAGGACUUGAAAACCUCCCCUCAGCCCAGACAGGCCGUAAGCUGUGAGUCAGCACUUCUCAGCAUUUCUGGAAAUUCCUCAGCAGAGCAUCCACCCUGUAGCAGGAAGCUGCCUGUUCACUUUAGCUGGUACCAGGAAAUGGAUGGGUGGUCAUGGACCUCACCUGAGGUGGGGACACAGCUCAAGAAAAUUUCACCAAAACUACCAAACGUUCCCCGUCCCACCAGCUUCCCACACCACCACCGAAUACACUGCCUGGGAAUAAAUUCAGUACCUCCUCAGCUGGCACCCAACUACAACUAUGUGCAGUUUCAAAGAACAGGAAAUAUAAGAUUUAAUUAAAAAAAAAAAUUAACAUUGGACAAAGGCACUGACAAGUUUCUCUGGUGCAAUUUUAAUGGUAUGGGCUCUCCCAGAAAGGAGGCAGCUCCACUCCAACACCCACAGGCAGGAUCUGUCUCCUGCCUAAAGAAGUCUGCAUUAAUUCAAAACAGCCAUGCCCCUCCAGGUAAGCACUGGAGAACCAGGGGGUUCUCCAGUGCUUACAGAGAAAGUGAUUCUUUCCACUCUCAAGAGGAUGAAGAAGUCAUGGGUUGCUAAUUGAAAGGACACAUGAACACAGCUCCAUCUCUCCCUCCAACAGUCCUUGCUUCCCACAGAAAAUCUCACAAGCCACAUACAACGCUGUGUCACAAUGGGAGACAGAUCCCAGGCCUGUCUGGGGGACACCCCAAAUCUGCCUCUGCCUGUACAGGCUAUGGUGGUGUUGAGUAUCUCAUCCCCACUGAGGCACAAACCAGAAUCACAGAAUCAUAGAAUCAGCUGGGUUGGAAAGGACCUCUGAGAUCAUCAAGUCCAACCCUUGAAGUCCCCACAGAAGCUCUCGGUGCUCAAUAGUCUCAAAUGUGUGACACCACCAAAGUGGAGAUACUGCUCUUGAAAUGCAGAUAUAACAUGCUCUCGGGUCCAUGGAAGGAUGUAAAGCAGUUAUUUCACAAGUACUGCCUGUGGUGAAUCCAAUUCCUACAUUACCCGCCUUGGACUGAGUAUCCACUCUUGUUUUGCUUUAAACACAUGCCUGACAGGGACAUUAAAGAGGGAGAGUUAAGGGAAUAGGAAGUACUUUUUGAACAUCAGUAAUUGCAUGUUCUGACCUCUCCAGCUUACAUCAUAUGUGUUAUCCAACAACCACAAAUCAAGAAGGAAACCCAAUUUAAGGACAUUAAUUUUCAGCGCAACACGUAUGUUAAAACUAACAGAACAAGACAAAUGUUGACGUUUUCCCGCUUGUUUCUUGCUUUAAUAUAUGUGGCUAUUCUCCCAGAAAAAUCUUGUCUUCUUUUUUUUUUUUAAAUGAACAUUUGUAUAAAGGAAGCUGCCUAAAGUUGGGUACAAAAAAAUGUUUUUCUCGACUGUUUUUAAAUACGGAGCAAUGAGAUUAAAGCGAGGCAGACAGCCAAAUACCUCAGCCAUCACAGUCAUUAAUAAACGCGUUUAACAUUCGUGCAGCUUUCGAAUGCAGAACAUCUGGUUCCAAUUCCCAAUCUGGCUUUUAAUAAAAGUGCCUCCCCCACAAUACUUUUAUUAUAAAGUGUUCUUUUCCUCCGUGGGCUCUCCCCCCUCCCCCCCCCCCCUUUUUUUUUCUUUUUGGAAGCGGCUGUUCCUUCCUUCUUGCUGGAAGCCACCUGACCACUGCCAGGAAGAGGAAUGCAAAACAUUCCCAGGAGCAGCUCCUGACGUCAGGGCGGCAGCAUUCCUACUCCUCCUCCUCCCACCGCGGCCGGGCCCGGAAAGCCCAGGCCUGGUCCAGCCGCCUGCCCCGUGCCUGCUCUGGGGUUUUCUUGCUCCCCCCACGAACACGGAGAUAGAAUAAACCUGGGAUGGGGCUACGGUGCCCUGGCCAGGUGCCCUGACGUGGUUCAUGCUGCUCCAGAGCCGCUCCACAUACCCCUUCUCCCUGCCCUUUAACAGGAGUCUCUGCUUUGGAUAAACUUCAGGCCCCCAGUAGGCUUGAAGCAGCUGAGACGCUGACUUUUACGAUUCUUUCCUUUUACUUCUAAUUUGUUCACUCGAAGGCAGGCGGCAGGAGGGUGCCAAGGAAAACAGGGACACGCUGCUGCAGGACAGUUGUUUUUUCACUCUUGAGACAUUCACAAGAGACAUGACAUGAUACCCAGGCAGGCAGCCUGCAUCCAACACGGCUCUGAAACAUGGAUCUUCUCAGUUUCUCUUUUCAUACAGUAUCUAUCUUCUAACACAUAACAGAAGCAUUUCAACUCUGCAACUCUCUAAUUUCAUUUAUCAGAACACAUUAACAAUUACUGGCAUUAUUUUAUAUUCUACUCUUGAACUACCUGUUAGCAAAACUUAUACAAGAGAUUCUUGGUGGAGUUGCAGUCCUCAAGUUUAGUUUACUCCUUUCAAUAUGUUUAGCCCAGUUAGUCUGAUAUUUUUGGGAUGUACAUUUUUAAAAUUCUAUAAUAGGUUCUGCCUGGAAAAAAAAAGUAUCUCUUUGUAUUUUAGUAAAUAACCGUAUCAAAGACAGUGAAGAGUAAAAGAAAUCCCAGUAGCUGUUAUCAGAUCCAUGAUAAAAUUGAGAGUUUCCUGAUGCCACCAUGCCAAGGGAACAGGAUGGUCCCUUGGGAAGAUGAAAAAAAAAGAGUAUGGAAAACCCUUCAUUUCUACAG